rnacentral:sRNA from 1 species
CAGCAAGGGCCACCAUUCACGUCCUAGUUCAUAUUUCAACUAGGCAUCCAGACGCCAGCGGCUCAGCAGCAGAGUGUUCUACAGUGCGAACGUAUUAGCCGAAAAUUGUACUGGUACAACAAACAAAUGCGGGACUACUAUGCACCACUGCUGGUGGCACAUUCCUUUAAUUUAUAUAUGAUUUGGCCGUCACGCCAUGUUGCUCUGAGCACUUCAGAUCUUAUGCCAAGGUUCCCGCCUUUUUCAUUAUGAAACAACGCAAUGGUGGUCUAGAGAUCGGCUCAGCACCAUUUUGUCAAUGUAACCGACUACAUGACGUUCUUCUGUUAUCUAUAGAAAGUGGAUAGAGCUUCUUAGGGCCAAGAUGGACGUUAAUGUAGAUAUGGAU